rnacentral:rRNA from 1 species
UACGGGGGGAGCAAGCGUUGUUCGGAUUUACUGGGCGUAAAGGGCGCGUAGGCGGUCGUGACAAGUCACUUGUGAAAUCUCCGGGCUUAACUCGGAACGGUCAAGUGAUACUGUCGGACUAGAGUACAGAAGGGGCAACUGGAAUUCUCGGUGUAGCGGUGAAAUGCGUAGAUAUCGAGAGGAACACCAGUGGCGAAGGCGGCUCACUGGACCGGUACUGACGCUGAUGCGCGAAAGCGUGGGGAGCAAACGGG